UACGUAGGGGGCAAGCGUUGUCCGGAUUUAUUGGGCGUAAAGAGCGUGUAGGCGGCUGGGUAGGUCCGUUGUGAAAACUCGAGGCUCAACCUCGAGACGCCGAUGGAAACCCUCCAGCUAGAGUCCGGAAGAGGAGAGUGGAAUUCCUGGUGUAGCGGUGAAAUGCGCAGAUAUCAGGAAGAACACCCGUGGCGAAGGCGGCUCUCUGGGACGGUACUGACGCUGAGACGCGAAAGCCAGGGGAGCGAACGGG
rnacentral:rRNA from 1 species